rnacentral:tRNA from 1 species
AGCCCCGUAGUCUAGUGGCCAAGGAUAGCUGGCUCUGGACCGGCUGACGCAGGUUCGAAUCCUGCCGGGGCUACCA